AUUAGCUUCCGUCAAUACGCAAUCAUGACCUAGAACAGCAAAACGGCUCGCCUAAUUCUCUCUCAAAGCUAUCUCAACAGCAAAGCAGCUCGCCUCCCAUUGCCCUGCCGGCGCAUCCAGCUCCGGCUGGGCGCGUCAGGCGGCCCCCCCUUCCUUCUGACCUUUUCACUUCCCCCUUCCUUCCUCGCCUCUUGGAUUGAUGGAGGCUCGUUGUCGACGCCGUCCCCCACUAAACCAUCUAAGGUCCGAAGACAGUGUCGCUUCCGAUGGUCUGCUGCCAUGCUAAGAGCUGAGCACAGCGUCGACUCUGACCUCCAGCAGCUGGCGUAAGUCUCCUCCUCGCCGCCCUCUCCACCCUCUCCUUGCCGACCUAAACAGUGCUGAACAGCCCAGUUUCCAACCAAAUCGAGCAUCGAUCGGGGCUCCUCCCACUCCUCAGCACUCGGAGAACUCAGAUCCGGGAACGGGAACUUCUAUCAGAUUCUGGUCGGGGACCUCCCCCUCCUCCUCACAGUCUCCAUUAGGCGGGUGUGGCGGUAGCUUCCCCUCCCCAUCGGGGGUCGCGCUUGAUCCGUCUUUGGCGACUCAGACCCUGUGGGGGCGCCCCAGCUUCUUUCGGUAUCGACCUGCUGUAGUGGCUUCAAACGUUGCAGCAGACACCACAGGGCCAGAAAUGAUGUCGGCACAGCAGAGACGACUUCCUCCAUCCACUCUCUGCCCAAUUGGCUCUACUCCUCCCCUCCAAUGGCAGUUUCUUCUCUGCAGCUUCCGCCAUCCCUCAUGAUAGUAUCCCCGCCUUUCACAUCAAAGGAUUAAAACACUGGUCUGCUUAAUCUUACUACCCGCUUGCAAAAAUCAUCCUUUCGUGGCUUUGCUUUUUUUUUUUUUGUUGAUUUGUGGCAGGUCACCUCUCCAAAUAUAGUCUAUGGAUUGAACCGAUCAAAAUAACCUUGCUUAUUUUGUUUAAUUAUCUAAAUAGAUAAUCGCUGGUUUGACCGGGAAAUGAGGUUGUUUUGAUUUGACUAUCUAGGAAUUGGACUGUUUAAGAAUAUUGUGAUUUGCGAAGGCUUCCUGCGUCGGGUAUCGGUUUAAAACUCUUCUUGACCCUGCUCUUCUAUUUCCUCACAAUAGUAGCCUCUAUAUGGAUUGCAUUUGGCUCCGCUUCUCGGUAUUCACUAAGAUCCACAUAAAGUUAGUUGCAAGAGGUUGGGAACAGACAUACAACAACUGGAAGAAUUUCUUCAAUUGUAUCUGUAUUUAUUGAAUAUGCUUUUGUCACAUUGUAUUCUUUCUUUGCAGUGAUCCCGACAGAUAUUAUGUGUUUUUCUAUCAUUA